rnacentral:rRNA from 1 species
AGCAGUCGCCGCGGUAAUACGUAGGUGGUAAGCGUUGUCCGGAAUUAUUGGGCGUAAAGGGCUCGCAGGCGGUUUCUUAAGUCUGAUGUGAAAGCCCCCAGCUCAACCGGGGAGGGUCAUUGGAAACUGGGAAACUUGAGUGCAGAAGAGGAGAGUGGAAUUCCACGUGUAGCGGUGAAAUGCGUAGAGAUGUGGAGAAACACCAGUGGCGAAGGCGACUCUCUGGUCUGUAACUGACGCUGAGGAGCGAAAGCGUGGGGAGCGAACAGGAUUAGAUACCCCCGUAGUCCCUGUCUCUUAUAC